rnacentral:rRNA from 1 species
CUAAGGGUGUAUGGUGGAUGCCUUGGCAUCGAGAGGCGACGAAGGACGUGAUAGCCGACGAAACGCUCGGGCGAGCUGGCAAAUAAGCAUUGACCCCGAGAUGUCCGAAUGGGGAAACCCCACCUUCGGGUGAUCCUGCGAUGAAUGUAUAGUCGUAGGAAGCGAACGCAGGGAACUGAAACAUCUAAGUACCUGUAGGAAGAGAAAGAGACAUCGAUUCCGUGAGUAGCGGCGAGCGAAAUCGGAAGAGCCCAAACCGGGAUUCGUCCCGGGGUUGCGGGCGCCUCGAGCUGAAUAGUCCCAGACGAACGGCCUGGAAAGGCCGGCCAGAGACGGUGAAAGCCCGGUAGUCGACGGGGCGAACAGGCGUCGAGAGGCGUACCAGAGUAGUACGGAGCUCGUGGAACUCCGUAUGAAGCAGCGCGGACCACCGCGCAAGGCUAAAUACUCCUCGAUGACCGAUAGUGAACUAGUAGGGCGAUUGAACGGUGAAAAGAACAGCUGUUAGCUGAGUCAAAAGAUCCUGAAACCAUACACUUACAAGCGGUCGGAGCCCCAUCGUGGGUGACGGCGUACCUUUUGCAUAAUGGGCCGGCGAGUGCACGUCUGUGGCGAGGCUAAGCAUUUCAGAUGCGGAGCCGUAGUGAAAGCGAGCCUUAAGAUGGCGUUAAGUCGUAGGCGUGCGGCCCGAAACCUAGUGAUCUACCCAUGGCCAGUGUGAACGUCCCGUAAAAGGGACGGGAGGCACGAGACCGUGAACGUUGAAAAGUUCUGGUAUGAGCUGUGGGGAGGAGUGAAAGUCUAAUCAAACUGGGAGAUAUCUGGUUCUCUGCGAAAUGCCUUUAGGGGCAGCGUCAGGCCACUACUCUAUGGGGGUAGAGCUACUGAAUGGGAAUGUGGGCCUACCCGGCUACGCAUCCCAAUCAAACUCCGAAUACCAUAGAGACUAUCCUGGCAGUGAGUCGGCGAGCGAUAAUGUUCGUCGUCAAAAUGGAAACAACCUAGAUCGCCAGCUAAGGUCCCAAAGUCUGGCUUAGUUCGUGAGGAAGUUAUUCUACUGUGACAACCAGGAUGUUGGCUUAGAAGCAGCCACCAUUUAAAAAGUGCGUAAUAGCUUACUGGUCGAGUAGAGUAGCGCCGUAAAUGAUCGGGAAUAAGCAAGACACCGAAGCUGCGAAUUCGAAAGAGUGGUAGCAGAGCGUUGCACUCCGCGUCGAAGGUCGACUGUGAGGUCGGCUGGAGCGUGUGCAAGUGAGAAUGCCGGCAUGAGUAACGAUAAUGCAGGUGAAAAUCCUGCACGCCGAAAGCGUAAGGUUUCCUGGGGAAGGUAAAUCCGCCCAGGGUUAGUCGGGAGCUAAGGCGAGGCCGAAAGGCGUAGUCGAUGCACAAACGGUUAAUAUUCCGUUACCGUCGCGGAGAUCAAACCAAGUUGUGGUUUUUCAAGCCAGUCAAUCCGGAUAGUUGUGGAUGAUGCUGGGGCGAAGGAUCCGAGAAAAGGCUUGGGGGCAAGGCGACGUCCGUACUAAAACUGACACAGGUACGCGAGGAGAGUAUCCUAAGGCGCUCGAGAGAACUGCGGUUAAGGAACUAGGCAAUCUAACCCCGUAACUUCGGGAGAAGGGGUCCCCGCCUUCGGUGGGGCGCAGAGAAGCAGACUGGGCGACUGUUUAUCAAAAACACAGCUCCGUGCUAACUCGCAAGAGGAUGUAUACGGAGUGACGCCUGCUCGGUGCCGGAAGGUCAAGGAAGCUGGUUAGUGGGUCCGCCCGCGACGCUAGCGACUUAAGCCCCGGUAAACGGCGGCCGUAACUAUGACGGUCCUAAGGUAGCGAAGUUCCUUGUCGGGUAAGUUCCGACGUGCAUGAACGGCGUAACGACUUGGUCGCUGUCUCGACCGCAGACUCGGUGAAAUUGAAGUGGCGGUGAAGAUACCGCCUUCCCGUAGCAAGACGGAAAGACCCCAUGCACCUUUACUAUAGCCUGGUACUGAUGCCGGUUAUUGACUGCGUAGAAUAGGUGGGAGGCGUCGAUCGCUCGGUUCUGGCCGAGCGGGAGCCACAAUGUGAAAUACCACCCUGUUGGUAAUCGUCAUCUCACCCCGUGCCGUGAAUCCGGCCGGGGAACCGUGCUAGGUGGUUAGUUUGACUGGGGCGGUCUCCUCCAAAAGAGUAACGGAGGACUGCAAAGGCCCGUUCAGGACGGUUGGCAACCGUUCGUUGAGCGCAUAGGUAGAAGCGGGCUUGACUGCGAGUGGUACGCCACGAGCAGAGAUGAAAGUCGGUCUAAGUGAUCCUGUGGUCCUGUGUGGAAGGGCCAUAGCUCAAGGGAUAAAAGGUACGCUGGGGAUAACAGGCUGAUCGCGCCCGAGCGCCCAUAGCGGCGGCGCGGUUUGGCACCUCGAUGUCGGCUCAUCACAUCCUGGGGCUGUAGGCGGUCCCAAGGGUUUGGCUGUUCGCCAAUUAAAGUGGUACGCGAGCUGGGUUCAGACCGGCGUGAGCCAGGUCGGUCCCUAUCUGCAACGGGCGAAGGAACCUUGACGGCAACUCUUUCCUAGUACGAGAGGAUUGGAAAGAACGGACCCCUGGUGUACCAGUUGUCGCGCUAGCGGCACCGCUGGGUAGCCAUGUCCGGAACGGAUAAACGCUGAAAGCAUCUAAGCGUGAAGCCAGUGCCAAGAUUUGGGUUCCCUAAGACCCCCGGAAGACGACCGGGUUGAUAGGCCGGAGCUGCAAGCCCCGCAAUGGGUUCAGGUCACCGGUACUAAUGGUCGUGCACUUGAUCA